GACGAACGCUGGCGGCGUGCUUAACACAUGCAAGUCGAACUGAAAGGCCCUGCUUUUGUGGGGUGCUCGAGUGGCGAACGGGUGAGUAACACGUGAGUAACCUGCCCUUGACUUUGGGUUAACUUCAGGAAACUGGGGCUAAUACCGGAUAGGAGCUCCUGCUGCAUGGUGGGGGUGGGAAAGUUUCGGCGGUUGGGGAUGGACUCGCGGCUUAUCAGCUUGUUGGUGGGGUAGUGGCUUACCAAGGCUUUGACGGGUAGCCGGCCUGAGAGGGUGACCGGCCACAUUGGGACUGAGAUACGGCCCAAACUCCUACGGGAGGCAACAGUGGGGAAUAUUGCACAAUGGGCGGAAGACUGAUGCAGCAACGCCGCGUGCGGGAUGACGGCCGUCGGGUUGUAAACCGCUUUCGCCUGUGACGAAGCGUGAGUGACGGUAAUGGGUAAAGAAGCACCGGCUAACUACGUG
rnacentral:rRNA from 1 species